rnacentral:misc_RNA from 1 species
CCCAGCUUUUGUAAAAGGAUGCUGUAAAGAUUAGAGUGCUACAAUUAUAAAAUUCUACUCGUCUGCCUAAGGAAUCAGGACAACUAAUGCUGGACGUAAUGAUUGUAUCGAAACCUUAUAAUGAAUGUCCUGAUGUUCCAACUCAUUUUUCUUCGGAAUUAAUACAUAAGCCGCUGUUGAGAGAACACCCUCUCAUAUUCAUCAUGUAUAUGUAUGUAUUCUAUGCAUACGACUGUAUAAUGGGUGUGGGGGAUCCUUUGCUGCCCCAAUUAACAUUUUCAAGUGGGUCAGUUGACAGUUAAGAUUGCUAUUAGAAAAGGUGUGGCUAUUGCAGAUCAGGUGGACGUAGCUAAUAGUGCUGAGGCAUCAAAGGGACCAACUACUCCCUCGCUCAAAAGGCGCAUGGCAGCUCCCCGAGAGAACUUCCUUGCAAAUAAAAAACAGGGAACAGAUGUUGCGUAACUGCGACACCACUCUGUCCGGUACUCACUCUCAUAAUAUACGUGGUUGAUGUCCUUUAUUUCCCUUAUCUUUUGAGGGCCUGCGUUUGCAUAGGUGAAUGUGAUGGGAUGCCAACCUUUACUCUCCAUUUUUGUUGCAGAUUGAUUCCAUACAGUAUAGGUCAAGGUUCUUCUUUCAAGUUCACCUUCUAGAUCAGCCAUCGAAAGCAAUGUCUGCACAUAGUGUUCGUCAGGAAUACAAUUAUUCUGCUUUUUAAGUUUUGGAUUCAGCUUUCCCUUGCUGGCAUCUGGAGGUGGCGCCCGCUUGCAAUGCUUCUGAAAGACUGGAAAUAUAACCUCAUCAUCUACAAUGACUUCCGCAUGGCUUCUGACUAAGGUGAUCCACUGGGAUCCUUUUCUCCAUUUGUGUUUUCUUAUGAUGGGCGACAUCUUCUGGUUGUAGCGCUCUUCUUUUGUAUCAACAAAGCUGUCAACAAAACUCCUAGGAGAAGCCAUCAAGUAGCUGUAUAUGUAGCUAAAGUUGUACAGGGGGACGCAGCUGUCUGAGAGAAGAACAAAUCUUUGAUUUGCCGGAUCAUCUAAGGCAGCUGAGAGUAAAAACCUCUCUGCUUCGAUCAUACUCGACUCUCCCCAUACUACCUGGAUGCUAUUCUUCAAUUGCCGACCGUAGAAAAAAUGUGACCGAGUCGUGGACUCGUCGAACUCAAACCCCGGUGCCGAGUGUAUAAAAAUUGAGAAAUUUGCCACUUCAGCAUUCUCGAAGAAGCUGCCCCAGAGAAAAUCAAGAGGAAGCUCUUUGCGAACGAGGAAAAGGAAGGCUAUCUUAGGAGGGCCGACGAAGUGGAAGCUACCGCGAGAAAUUCGAGAUCUCGAGCCAUAAAUGGAAGAAACAGGGGACGAGAAAUCGGAAUUGAAGUGAAGUCUAAGAAUAGCGAAGACAGAGAGGGAGACGGAAAGGAUGAUAACAAGUUUCCAACCGAACCAGAUAACGUGGGGUGUUGGUACCGUGGAGGCCUUCUUUGACAUCGUUCUUCAUUGAAGGAGAUGAAAUUGAUGGUUAGAGCCCAUAACAUGGAAAGAGAAAGCUGUAUAAUGCUAAUCCG